UAGCAGCAGCAGCAGCAACAGCGCCGGUUUGAUUGAGUGGGACUGACGGACGAAUGAACGGACGGACGGCCGUGUGCUCUAUUGUGUUUGCAAAAGGGAAAACGCUCACUUGGAUGCAAUUUUCAUUAGCGCGAAAAUUGUGAGAACUCAGCGCAAACAA
rnacentral:sRNA from 1 species